AGGCAGCAGUGGGGAAUUUUGGACAAUGGGCGCAAGCCUGAUCCAGCAAUGCCGCGUGCAGGAAGAAGGCCUUCGGGUUGUAAACUGCUUUUGUCAGGGAAGAAAUCUUCUGGGCUAAUACCCCGGGAGGAUGACGGUACCUGAAGAAUAAGCACCGGCUAACUACGUGCCAGCAGCCGCGGUAAUACGUAGGGUGCGAGCGUUAAUCGGAAUUACUGGGCGUAAAGCGUGCGCAGGCGGCUUUGCAAGACAGAUGUGAAAUCCCCGGGCUCAACCUGGGAACUGCAUUUGUGACUGCAAGGCUAGAGUACGGCAGAGGGGGAUGGAAUUCCGCGUGUAGCAGUGAAAUGCGUAGAUAUGCGGAGGAACACCAAUGGCGAAGGCAAUCCCCUGGGCCUGUACUGACGCUCAUGCACGAAAGCGUGGGGAGCAAACAGGAUUAGAUACCCUGGUAGUCCACGCCCUAAACGAUGUCAACUGGUUGUUGGACGGCUUGCUGUUCAGUAACGAAGCUAACGCGUGAAGUUGACCGCCUGGGGAGUACGGCCGCAAGGUUGAAACUCAAAG
rnacentral:rRNA from 1 species